AGACCCGAAACCCGGUGAUCUAGCCAUGGGCAGGUUGAAGGUUGGGUAACACUAACUGGAGGACCGAACCGACUAAUGUUGAAAAAUUAGCGGAUGACCUGUGGCUGGGGGUGAAAGGCCAAUCAAACCGGGAGAUAGCUGGUUCUCCCCGAAAGCUAUUUAGGUAGCGCCUCGUGAAUUCAUCUCCGGGGGUAGAGCACUGUUUCGGCUAGGGGGCCAUCCCGGCUUACCAACCCGAUGCAAACUGCGAAUACCGGAGAAUGUUAUCACGGGAGACACACGGCGGGUGCUAACGUCCGUCGUGAAGAGGGAAACAACCCAGACCGCCAGCUAAGGUCCCAAAGUCAUGGUUAAGUGGGAAACGAUGUGGGAAGGCCCAGACAGCCAGGAUGUUGGCUUAGAAGCAGCCAUCAUUUAAAGAAAGCGUAAUAGCUCACUGGUCGAGUCGGCCUGCGCGGAAGAUGUAACGGGGCUAAACCAUGCACCGAAGCUGCGGCAGCGACACUAUGUGUUGUUGGGUAGGGGAGCGUUCUGUAAGCCUGUGAAGGUGUGUCGUGAGGCAUGCUGGAGGUAUCAGAAGUGCGAAU
rnacentral:rRNA from 1 species